CUCAAUUGGUAGUUCGUCUUGUCCCAUCGCUGCAACUCCCAUACGGACUCGGGAGAGGUGAAGGUCGAGAGCCAUGCGUCCUCCAAAACAUGACCCUGCCAAAAUGCACUGCUUCUUGACACACUGCUUGCUUAACUCGGAAGCCAGCCGCACCAAUGUGUUGGAGGAAACGUCCAACUGGCGACCAUAUCAGCGUGCAUGCGCCCAGCCCACCACAGGAGUCGCUAGAGUGCGAUGAGACAAGGACAUCCCGGCCAGCAAACCCUCCACUAACUCGGAUGACACUGGGCCAAUUGUGGGUCACCUCAUAUGUCUCCCAGUCGCGGCCUGCUGCGACACAGCCCGGGUUCGAACCCAGAUCUGUAGUGACGCCUCUGCAGUGCCUUAGACCGCUGCGCCACUCGGGAGGCCCUAAGACCCUUUUUGAUCCAGAAAAAACCCUGGUAGUAACAGCCCAGAAUGAAGUACACUCUCUACUCUACCUGUUUUCUCCUGAACUCUCGACACAGUUUGGUGUUCUCUUGCUGAUGGCCCUCUGUCUUCUCUUCAUGCCUUUUCACCAUUUUUUCCUCCGGUUGACAUACAAUGCCUUCGGAAAGUAUUCAGACCCCUUGACUCUUUCCACAUUUUGUUACGUUACAGCCUUAUUCUAAAAUGGAUAAAAAUUCUCAGCAAUCUACAUACAAUACCUCAUAAUGACAAAGCGAAAACAGAUUUUUAGACAUUUUUGUUAAUUUAUAAAACCAUAAAAUAACAGAAACACCUUAUUUACAUAAGUAUUCAGACCCUUUGCUACUUGAAAUUGAGCUCAGGUGCAUCCUGUUUCCAUUGAUCAUCCUUGAGAUGUUUCUACAACUUGAUUGGAGUCCACCGGUGGUAAAUUCAAUUGAUUGGAGUUGGAAUGAGUUGGAAAGUCACACACCUGUCUAUAUAAGGUGCUCCAGCUCAUACUCUGUAAAGCUGAAUUCAGGCUGGCUCGCACUGGGUCUUGGGGGCCCGAGGCGUUCCCCUUGGUGGGCAUCUGGUGCUUAUACUUGCACUUGGUUCCAAAUCUGCAGCCGGCAGAUGUCCCGAAAGUGAACGGGGGCCGCCGGUGAUAGUGCAGGAGGUCUGGGUCCAGAGUGAUGGUCCACAUGCUGUUGGCAAUACGCUCGGUGAAGCGGUUGCCGUAGAUGGCGGUGAGGGCCAGAGACUCCUGCUGAUACCUGCAGAACUUUCCUAUGGCAAACAGUCCUAUGACUGGCUUGGGUGUGGGCUACCGUUCAUCCUCUGAGUCAGGAUCAUAGACAGGGCUCUCCACAGGCUCAUUAGGUUCCAGAACUGCACUUCCUCCUGGUAAUCCAGCUAGUCAUACUCUUCCUCUUCAUCAUACUCCUCUGCUUCUUCACUGAGAAAGAACAGCUCUCUCAACAGCUCCUUCACCUGCUCCUGGUUCUUAUUGGUAAUGAAGAUCUUCUGCAUGGGCAGCUUGCCCAUCAUCUCUGCCAAUGCCCCUUCCGACUCUGCUAAUCCAGGCCUGCACCACCGCCACACCCUCCCAUUCCUCUGCCUGAGGUGGGCCUGUG
ensembl:lncRNA